GAUCCUGGCUCAGGACGAACGCUGGCGGCGCGCCUAACACAUGCAAGUCGAACGAGCGAGAGAGAGUUUACUUUUUCGAGCGAGUGGCGAACGGGUGAGUAACGCGUGAGGAACCUGCCUCAAAGAGGGGGACAACAGUUGGAAACGACUGCUAAUACCGCAUAAGCCCACGACCCGGCAUCGGGUAGAGGGAAAAGGAGCAAUCCGCUUUGAGAUGGCCUCGCGUCCGAUUAGCUAGUUGGUGAGGUAACCGG
rnacentral:rRNA from 1 species